CGUGUAGGCGGUUGGUCAAGUCGGGUGUGAAAUCCCGGGGCUCAGCCCCGGAAGUGCAUCCGAAACUAGCCAGCUAGAGCGCGAUAGAGGAGGGUGGAAUUCCUGGUGUAGCGGUGAAAUGCGUAGAUAUCAGGAGGAACACCGGCGGCGAAGGCGGCCCUCUGGAUCGUUGCUGACGCUGAGACGCGAAAGCGUGGGAGCAAACA
rnacentral:rRNA from 1 species